CGGCACUGGUCCCCCUGGCUGCCCAGUCUCACUCCAGUGCCAGACUAACCUCGGUCAGUAGAAGGACUGGGUCACAACACUGGCUCUUCCCUUUCGAAGGCCGAGCACACUC
rnacentral:snoRNA from 1 species